rnacentral:rRNA from 1 species
CCCCUAGAUGUUCUGGGCCGCACGCGCGCUACACUGAACAGUUCAACAAGUCUUAACCUUGGCCGAUAGGUCUGGGUAAUCUUUGAACGCUGUUCGUGAUUGGGAUAGACCUUUGCAAUUAUGGGUCUUCAACGAGGAAUUCCUAGUAAACGCAAGUCAUCAGCUUGCAUUGAUUACGUCCCUGCACUUUGUACACACCGCCCGUCGCACCUACCGAUUGAAUGGUCCGGUGAAAUCUCGGGACGGCGGCUUGGUCGCUUGCGUCCGACUGCUGAAACUUGAUUAAACCAUAUCAUUUAGAGGAAGGUGAAGUCGUAACA